rnacentral:pre_miRNA from 1 species
CAACUCUCAUCUUACACCGUUGGAUCGAGAAAUGGACGUCCGAGAGUUAAAAUUUAACUCACAGAUUCACUCAUGAGUUAAAAUUUACAUGGUGACGUGAAUGAAUCUCGGACGUCCAUUUCUCGAUAUAACGGUGUAGGAUGAGAGUUG